UACGUAGGUGGCAAGCGUUGUCCGGAUUUACUGGGCGUAAAGAGCGCGCAGGCGGUCGGAUAAGUCGAAUGUGAAAGCCCCCGGCUCAACUGGGGAGGGUCAUUCGAUACUGUUCGACUCGAAGGCAGGAGAGGGAAGUGGAAUUCCCGGUGUAGUGGUGAAAUGCGUAGAUAUCGGGGAGGAACACCAGUGGCGAAGGCGACUUCCUGGCCUGUUCUUGACGCUGAGGCGCGAAAGCGUGGGGAGCAAACAGG
rnacentral:rRNA from 1 species